rfam:Trichobilharzia regenti genome assembly, scaffold: TRE_scaffold0011748
AUCCAGCUGACUAGCGAGUCCCAAAUAGGACGAAAUGCGCUUCAUCCUGGAU